rnacentral:lncRNA from 1 species
GGGUUCCAACUGUAUAUCCUCAUUCAAAAGCAUUGAUUACCCCAAAAAGGCCCUCGCUCUAAGUUUCAUAGUAUAUACCUUUCUAUACACUAACCGACACGUAUACUUAUAUAUGACUGUUUAUCAUAUCGUGAUAAGGGAAUGAGCUUUCAAUCAUAAAGUUUUGAAUGCCUUAUAGAAUUCCGACAAGAAUUUAUAAAUUG